AACAAUGCUGGCACUAUUGACUCUGCUCUCCGGUGCUUCUGCUAGUGUCGUGGGACCUUGCCCAGGGAGAAAGACGGGAGACGUGCAGAACAGAACCAAGCUGCCCCAGUAGAGCCCAGGCCAAUCCCCGGCUGAUUCCCAGCCCCAUGAGCAAGCAGCAGAGAUCAUCACAGCUACCAGCGCAGCACGGCCUACAUCCGCCAACUCCAGAUGACCCAGAGAACCGUGUGCUAGGAAAAUACUGUAACUGGUGUCUAUUGUACCCCAGCACCUACAAGAGGACCUAACACAUAGUCGUUCUCCGUUACGUCCCCAUCUGGAGCAGAUUCAACAGAAAUAGGAGUUCUUUUUAAUACUCGGCAUCAUUGGAAUGCUGGCUUCUUAUGACUGCAUCGUGUGUCCGCCCUGCAGACUGUACCUACCCACGGCAAAUGGUAUCUCUUGGUGUUCUGUGCGCCCAUAAAUCAUCCUGUUUUGCACAAUGUAAGAAUUCAAUGAGAACCUGUCGACCGACCAGUCCUUUCACAUAAAGGAGAAGACAAAGCUCCUCGUUCCCUAUCCCAGGGUGCCUCACCUUGCCCAGCCCCUACAGAAAAGCGUUUCUGCCUCCACAUUCCUUCACUGAACCCGCAGCUAGAGAGAACCUCAGUCUAGGCAUGACGUUAAAAUGAGAAAACACUUUUGUCCCCAUAGAACUUACUGUUUCCUGUAUACUCUCUCCUCGUACAUUUUUCUGCCAGAAAUUUCUUUCUCUAGGAAAUGAAUACUGCUUUCAAUAAAAUUCCAUUAAGUGGAUAUCAUGUACU